CACUAUCUCAGAUCAAAAGGAUGAGUAAAGUACACUGAGAUAUUUGGAGAAAGACCACAUUCAUAUAAGCUUUGUUACAGUAUAUUGUUAUAAUUGUCUGUUAUUAUUAUUGUUGUUAAUCUCAUACUGUGUCUAAUUUAUAAAUUAAAC